UACGUAGGGAGCAAGCGUUGUCCGGAAUCAUUGGGCGUAAAGCGCGCGUAGGCGGCCCCGUAAGUCCGCUGUGAAAGUCAAAGGCUCAACCUUUGAAAGCCGAUGGAUACUGUGGAGCUAGAGUACGGAAGAGGCGAGUGGAAUUCCUGGUGUAGCGGUGGAAAUGCGCAGAUAUCAGGAGGAACACCAAUAGCGAAAGGCAGCUCGCUGGGACGUUACUGACACUGAGGCGCGAAAGCGU
rnacentral:rRNA from 1 species